rnacentral:rRNA from 1 species
AUGACUCUGUGCUUGCAGAUGACCAGGUGGGAUGAAAUUCUCACCCUUCCAGUUCAGAACCCAACCAUAUUGGAGUUUUCAGCAGCAGAUAUCACGUGGUCCAUGGUGGAGGGCUGGAAGGACUCAAUGGACAGGCUUGCACUCAUUCCGUUUUCUAGGGUGGGUGAUUUUGUCAGAGGAGAAUCAAACAACAAAGCAUGCCCGACAAGAUUCCACGUUGAGGCACGGAGAAGGCGUUCUCCAACCAUGACCUGCAAACCAAAAGUCGACGGGAUACUUGAGUAUAUUCUGUAUUGGUGUUCUUUUGGUCCAGAUGAUUAUAGAAAGGGUGGUGCUGUCCGGCCUAGCAGAUCCUCUUGCGGAAAGAGGAAAACACCCGCUGGUCGCCCUAAUACAAAGAGGGGGUGUGUUUGCCAUUUUAUUGUGAAGCGUUUGAUCGCUGAACCAUCAUUGGCUCUUGUGAUAUAUAACCACAACAAGCAUGUAGAUAAGAAAGGCACACCAUGUCAUGGUCCCAUGGACAAGAUGGCUGUAGGGACGAAGGCAAUGUUUGCACCUUACAUAUCGGAUGAAUUACUUCUUGAAGUUAUGUCUUUGCUCUAUGUUGGUAUUCCUGUCGAGACCAUAAUGCAGAGACAUACUGAAAUGGUUGAAAAGCAAGGAGGACCAUCAAAUCGUGAUGAUCUUCUUACUCACAGAUAUGUUAGGAGGCUGGAAAGAAAAAUGCGGCGUUCUGUUUAUGAACUUGAUGAUGACGAUGCUGUUAGUAUGAACAAAUGGGUUGAAAAUAACCAGGACUGCGUAUUUUUCUAUGAAGAUUUUUCUGAUAAUGAUACCUUUGUCUUGGGCAUUCAGACAGAUUGGCAGCUACAGCAGAUGAUUCAGUAUGGCAACCGCAGUUUACUGGCUUCUGAUUCAAAGUUUGGAACAAACAAGUUAAAGUAUCCUGUACAUAGCAUCCUUGUUUUCGACCAGCAGAAAAAUGCAAUUCCUGUUGCUUGGAUCAUCACUCCCAAUUUUACACAUGGUGAGAUACAUAGAUGGAUGGGUGCUCUAUAUGAUCGAGUUCGUACAAAAGACCCGACGUGGCAGUUGGGUGGCUUCAUUAUUGAUGAUCCCUUGACCGAUAUGCGCACUAUAAGGGAAGUGUUUCAGUGCCCGGUGUUGAUUUCCUUAUGGCGUGUCCGUCACGCUUGGCAUAAAAAUUUGAUGAGCAAGUGUUCAGAUUUUGAGAGGCGUUCAAUGAUGGCUAAACGACUCGGGGAGGCAAUAUCCAGCAUCUGUAGAGGAAAUGGUGAUAUAGAAUUAUUUCAGGCCUUCCUGGAAGAUUUUAUUGAUUGCUCUGGCUUUGUGGACUACUUCAAAGCUCUAUGGCUUCCAAGACUUGGGGCAUGGACGGACAUCUUGAAGACCAACCCGUUGGCUACUGCUGAGGUAGCUUCAGCAAUUGAGAGAUACCAUCACCUGCUAAAACUUCGGCUGUUGAAUGAGGCAGAUGAAAGCAUCUACCAGCGUGCAGACUGGUUGGUUCAUAAGUUGGGUACGAAGGUUCACUCGUACUGCUGGCUGGAUGAAUUUUCUGGGAAGGACAGCUUCUCUCGUUACUGGAGGAGUGAGUGGAAAACUGGUCCAAACCCAUGGCAGCAGGGAUUGCAAAUUCCGGAUUCUGAUAUUGUAAUUGAAGGCAACUGUGCUAGAGUGGUCUGCCAGAAACACAAGGAGAAGUCCCAUGCCAUACUGAACCCAGGUUCUGAGCUUGCAUUGUGUGACUGCAGCUGGUCAAGGAAGGGAAACCUUUGCAAACAUGCAAUGAAGUCGGCAAAGGUUUGCCGUGACAGGGGAUUGGCACCGCCAUCUUUGGCGCUGCUUCGCUACUACCAGGCACUGGCAAAUGUUGUUCAUUGCCCACCCAGUGACUCUGUGAUAUGCGACCAUGCAAUCGCGGUGGCAGUUUCUGUGAGAACACAGUUAGAUGCGUUGCUUUCCGCCACCAACGGCAGUUCUCCAGAUACCUCACUUUUCAAGGGUCCACAAUCAACCAGUGACAAUGAACCCAGAGAACUUGAUGUUCGGGAAGCCAACAUUGAAAAUGGCAGUGAAGUUCCCGCUGACGAGGAUAGCGAUGAGGACAGUCCUGCUUGCAAGAAAAGAAAGCCUAGAGGACCAUCUGAUGAAGACGAAAUCGCUACAGCGACGCAAGUUUCUGAAGCUGAGAGCAGUCAAGCAACUUCUAUACGGGAACUUGAUCGAUCUCAGGAUAGUCCUGCUCCCCAGGAAAGAGUGCGCAGAGAAACUUCUGACGGGUAUGAAGGAACUGCAGUGAUGGAAAUUUCUGAUGACGAGGAAGAAACUGCAGCGGUGCAAAUCACACAACCUUCUGAAAGUGAGAACAGUCAAGCGACUUGUGUGCAGGAAGUUGAUCGCAAUCAGGAUAGUCCUGCUCGCCAGGAAAGAGGGGGCAGAUAA